UUCAAACCAUUAUUUGCAAUUAAAAUUUUUAGUGUAAAUUAAAAUUAUCAAGUAUAUCAAGUGCACAGCAGUAAACUGCCGCCUAUGUACGCAUAUGAGUGCUAAGAUGCGUUGGGAGCAUAAAGGACUUGUCGCAGAGCUCGCAGCUGAAAUAUAAAUGUUGUUAGCUUGGAGUAUAUAAAUUAAAAGUGCUUCUGCUUACCGAUAGGACCGCAACCCAGAAUGAGUGCCGCACGCAUAGGGCCUCUCAUUUGUGUGGGUACGCUCGUGCUUAACGCGUGUAGUGUAGUCGGAGAAACAACGGCCACAGUACUGGC